CCCCUAGAUGUUCUGGGCCGCACGCGCGCUACACUGAACAGUUCAACAAGUCUUAACCUUGGCCGAUAGGUCUGGGUAAUCUUUGAACGCUGUUCGUGAUUGGGAUAGACCUUUGCAAUUAUGGGUCUUCAACGAGGAAUUCCUAGUAAACGCAAGUCAUCAGCUUGCAUUGAUUACGUCCCUGCCCUUUGUACACACCGCCCGUCGCACCUACCGAUUGAAUAGUCCGGUGAAAUCUCGGGACGGCGGCUUGGUCGCUUGCGUCCGACUGCUGAAACUUGAUUAAACCAUAUCAUUUAGAGGAAGGUGAAGUCGUANCA
rnacentral:rRNA from 1 species